AAUCAAGAAAAAUUUUUGUUACAGAGACAUAUCCAUUCAGUUUUGAAUCUCUCUCGGUUCUAUGUAUGCCUUCCUGGAAGUGGGAUUCCUGAUUGGUUCAAGCAUCAGGGAGAGUCAGUUGAGAAUAAAGCUACCUUCAGAUGGAAAUUGGUGGAAUAUUGCAGAUUUUGCAGUAUGUUCGUUUUGAGGAUGGAAAUGUUGAUGAAAAUGUUGCUUGGUCCAUUACAGUCGUGCCAGGUGGUCAUUGGA
rnacentral:misc_RNA from 1 species